rnacentral:rRNA from 1 species
CCUGAGAAACCCAAAAGAUCGAAUGGGGAGAUUCAUCGUCAGCGCAUUUGGUAUAUGUGUAAGUUAUGAUGCGGGUUACUCUCGAGUAUUGCCUGCACAUUCUUAUAUAUUUAAUUGCUAGAUGUUGUCGGCGUGCACUUCUCCCCUAGUAGGACGUCGCGACCCGUUGGGUGUCGGUCUACGGCCCGAGUGGGAGCCUUUGAUGCUUUAAAAACAUUAAAGACCCUCGGUGUUUCCUGACCGGCUGCCCGGCGGUAUUCGUACGGUAUUAAGCCGCAUUUAUAUGCGUCCACACCCGUCGCAAGCGCGGCCAGUUUCUGAUAGUACGGACCUAGUGCCGUCGUUGGGCCUGGCCAGCUGUUGGCUGUUGCGGUGUUCUGGGACUGGCUGAAAAAUAAUUACCGGUCGGCGACGCUACUGCUUUGGGUACUUUCAGGACCCGUCUUGAAACACGGACCAAGGAGUCUAACAUGUGCGCGAGUCAUUGGGAUUUUUUUUAAAUUAAACCUAAAGGCGUAAUGAAAGUAAAGGUCGUCCUUGCGUCGAUCGAGGGAGGAUGGGCUGUGUUAAGAUACAGCUCCGCACUCCCGGGGCGUCUCAUUCUCAUUACGAGAAGAGGCGCACCUAG